rnacentral:lncRNA from 1 species
CUUAGUGCAAUCUCGGUGUAGUCUCGACCUCACAGGCUCAAGUGAUCCUCCCACCUCAGCCUCCGGAGAAGCUGGGACUACAGCUCUUUGCCCAGCUUCCAGUGACUCCUCUGUGCCUGGAGAGAAGGGCAAGCGCCUUACUCAUGCCUUGAGGUUGCUGACCACUUCCGUCACCAGCCUCGCUCCUUCCAGACCUGCCCUGGGAGUCCCUGCCUCCUGGCCUUCACCUGCAUCACGGUCUGCACUUCUCAGAGCCCUGCCCUUCCUUGAAGAACAAAGCCUGGCCAAAUUGUGUCAGCCUUCUGGCCUGCAGUGACCCCUGCUUACAUCGUACAUAACAAUAGCUAUAACUUAUUGACAUUAACUUCAGGUCACAUAGCAAAAGUGCUCUCAUUUAAAUCUUAGGCCACCAGAGGAUCCAUAGACUAAAAUGUUAACAGCAUCUCCUGGAGUUGUGGAGUGUGGUGACCCUAUGUGAUCCUCCUGUGCCACUGAGAGAUAUAUUAUUAACCCAGUUUCACUGAUAAGAUAACUGAGGCUCAGAGAGGUCAAGUAACUUGCCCAUGGUCACACAGUGGGUCCAUGGCAGAGCUGGGAGGUGAUCCCUAGUCAGUUCCCUCCAAGUCCAGGAUUUUCUCACUCCCACAAUGGUGUCUCCCUUAAUGACUCUCACAUUCCAGCCUCUGAGGGCAGGAAGGGUAUGUUCUGAGUUGAACACACAGAGAGCACUCAAUGAUGUCUGGUGGUGAAGAUGUUAAUCAUGAGCUCAAUCAAGGUUUAUCAUUAAAUCAACAAGUCUUCCUAGUGUGUCUGGGAGCUCUGGGGCCCAGGGACAGGCCUACUGUAGUUCAGUGUUGUAUUCUGGCACCUGGUGGUUUCUGGCACAUAGCCCAUGUUCAUUAAAUGACAUGAAUUGAUUGUCCAUUCAAAUAAUAAAACAAUAAAUAAAUAAUACUAGCUAACAGGUAUGGAGUGCCUACAAGCCAGCCACCUCAGGGAGUUUCCAGGACAGUUGAGGAGAAACAUAACACUGUUGACAAGAGCUACAACGUAGGGUUUUACACCAAAACAGUGUCUACGUAAACAGUGUCUAUCAAAGAGAGAAAAAUGAUGGGCAGACACCCUGAUCCUUCCCACAGUGCUAAAGGCCAUGCCAGCCACUGUCCCCAUUACGACUUGCAUAUACUGACUGCCGAAGCACACAAACCUGAAUUUUCCGUCUGCAUCCAUCGUUCUGUCUGUUCGGAUCACAUCUGGAUACUACUGUUGCCUCUCCAGACUGGAUAACCAGUCUGCUGAGGGCCAGAAGAUGGUGAGAUGGAAACUAGUCAUGUUUACUUGGAGAAGAGAAAUGAAGACCGUCUUUAACACCUGACAGGUUGCUCUUCCCAAGAGGGGCCAGAGGGCAACAGCCAUGGUCAACAGCUCCAGGCACCCCUGAGGAAGCCUGCUCCAGCUGGCAGGGCUGUCUGGCAAGGGACCAGUCCCUCCUCUGGAGAAGUGGUGAGCCCAGUGGGCUGCCUCUCCAGCAGGAUCCUGUAGAGACCUUACUCUCUACAAUGCACACUCCACACACUUGCUCACUUGACAAACACUUAUUAUAACUGUCACCCUGGGCCCAUUCCAGGUUAGGGACAUAAGGAUGAAUAAAACAAGGUCUGUACCAGUAGAGAACAUCAGUCCUCUAGGGGAGAAAGUCAGGAAAGCCUCAUCCUGAGCCUUCGACUCCUUACUGUCCAUCCUCUAGGCUCCUGUCUCAGCUUCUGCUGAAGGCUAUUUUCUUCCUUGUAUUCUGCAGUGACCAGGCAUAUGGCAGAUAAUCAACAAAUACAGGCAUCCCUGAAGAGGGUAUCCUGGGAUAAAAGCCCCAGCUGGAUCAGUGCUAUACAGGGGCCAACUGGGGGUGGGUUCCAGGCAGGGUCAUUUGCAAGGGUCCCUCUGCCCCUUCAAGUCCUGCCAGACAGGCCUUGGCCAUGGUUUCUUCCUGCCCCUGUCCCCUGACCACAGUUGAUCUCCCCUGGCUGUUAUGAAAUGUCAAAGAAUGUCCUGCAAUCCUAAAUUCCAUAAUGAUCUUUAUCUUCUGUUCCCUCUGAGGCUCCUCAAUCUGCAGUAACAGCUGUGGUUCAGCAAGCAGUGCGGCACUCUGGAGUGCUGUUCUGAAACAGGGCCGGCGUGGGGCAGAGCUCAUCUGCUGCCCUAUCCAUUCACUGUGCUGUUCGGGGCUAGAGAAGAUUCAUGUGUGUAUAUGCUUUUUAAAAAUUGUGAAACAAUAAUUAUGCAGAAAAAUACAUAGAAUAUAUGUUCAGUUUAACAAAUAAUCAUAAAGCAAAUCUCUAUAAAACCACUGCUGCUCUGCAGUGACCCCUGCUUCCCCCUAAGUCGUGCAUAACAAUAGCUACAAUUUACUGACCAUGAACUUCAGGUCACACAGCAAAGGUGUUCUCAUUUAAUCUUUGGCCACCAGAGGCUGCAUAGACUAAAAUGUGAACAGUGUCCCCUGCAGUUGUGGAGUGUGGUGACCCUAUUGGAUCUUCUCAUGCCACUGAGGGAUAUACUGUUUUCUGUAGAGAAGUCCAGCAGAGUCACUGUCCUGGGGGGCAUCCUUCUUGAUCGCCCCCAUGCCAUGAAGGCCCAUUCCUUGCCCAGGGCUCUAGAGUCUGAGCUUCUCCAAGAGGGAAUGGAGUCUUUCGCAGAGGGGCUGUGGAGCCUCGUAAGGCUGAAUCUAACCACGAGCAGGGAUUUUGGGCAGCUGCAUAUCCCAGAUGGUUUCCCAGUGGAUCAGCUUCCUGUUGCUGCUCUAAUAAACUAACAUAAACUUAGGGGCUUAAAACAACACAAAUUUCUUUUCUUAUAGUUCCGUAGGUCAGAAGUCCAAAACAGGUCUCACUGGGCUAAACUGAAGGUGUCAGCAGGGCUGCAUUCCUUCCUGGGGGCUCUAGUAGAGAAUCUCUUUCCUUUCUUCCCCUUUCCAGCUUUUAGAGGCUGCCUGCAUUCCUUGGCCUGCGGCCCCUUCCUCCACCUUCAAAGCCAGCACUGGCUGGCCAGGUCUUUCAUAUAUUGCAAUCUCUCUGCUUCUGCUUCUGCUUCUGACCCUUCUGCCUCUCUCUUCUCCAUUUAAGAAUGCUUGUGAUUACAUUGGGCUCACCCACCCCAGUUUCUACCCAAUAAUCCAGGGUAAUCUCCCAAACUUAAAGAGAGAAAACAAUACUAGCACCCCCAAAGCACCUACGUGUUCCCCUACUAAUCACAACCCCAACCCUCCCUUCUGCAUAAGUAGACAUUUGUAAUAAUUCUGUGCUUUUUGUAGUUUGACCUCCUCUGCAUGUAUCCUUAACAAUACAGUUUUGCCAGCUGUUAAAUUUUUGCUAAAAGGAAUUAUACUGUAUGCAUUCUUUUGUA